CCCCUAGAGGAGCCUGUUCUAUAAUCGAUAAUCCACGAUCUACCUCACCAUCUCUUGCCAAUACCGCCUAUAUACCGCCGUCACCAGCCUACCCUAUGAAGGAUAUAAAAGUAGGCAAAAUCGCACAACAGCUAACAAGUCAGGUCAAGGUGUAGCUUACUGAGAUGGAAGAAAUGGGCUACAUUUUCUAAACUAGAAAUCAUUUCACGGAAAGAACUAUGAAACAAGUCCUAUAAGCAGGAUUUAGCAGUAAAUAAGGAUCAGAAUGCCCAAUUUAAGCCGGUCCUAAGGUACGC
rnacentral:rRNA from 1 species